rnacentral:rRNA from 1 species
CCUACGGGAGACUGCAGUAGGGAAUAUUGCUCAAUGGGGGAAACCCUGACGCAGCAACGCCGCGUGGAGGAUGAAGGUUUUCGGAUUGUAAACUCCUUUUGUUAGAGAAGAUAAUGACGGUAUCUAACGAAUAAGCACCGGCUAACUCCGUGCCAGCAGCCGCGGGAAUACGGAGGGUGCAAGCGUUACUCGGAAUCACUGGGCGUAAAGAGCGCGUAGGCGGGAUAGCAAGUCAGAUGUGAAAUCCUAUGGCUUAACCAUAGAACUGCAUUUGAAACUGUUAUUCUAGAGUAUGGGAGAGGUAGGUGGAAUUCUUGGUGUAGGGGUAAAAUCCGUAGAGAUCAAGAGGAAUACUCAUUGCGAAGGCGACCUGCUAGAACAUAACUAACGCUGAUGCGCGAAAGCGUGGGGAGCAAACAGGAUUAGAUACCCUUGUAGUC